UACGGGGGGAGCAAGCGUUGUUCGGAUUUACUGGGCGUAAAGGGCGCGUAGGCGGUCGUGACAAGUCACUUGUGAAAUCUCCGGGCUUAACUCGGAACGGUCAAGUGAUACUGUCGGACUAGAGUGCAGAAGGGGCAACUGGAAUUCUCGGUGUAGCGGUGAAAUGCGUAGAUAUCGCUUGGAACGCCAGUGGUGAAAACGGGUCGCUGGGGCUGUGCUGACGCUGAGACACGAAAGCCAGGGGAGCAAACGGG
rnacentral:rRNA from 1 species